rnacentral:tRNA from 1 species
GGAUAGCUCCCUUGGUUAGAGUGUGGUGCUAAUAAUGCCAAGGUUGCAGGUUCGAUCCCCGUAAGCGACA